rnacentral:lncRNA from 1 species
UCCCGUGUACCGGUACACCAGGGUAGGUGAGAGGGUGUUUUGGUCUUUUCUCUCCCUCGUUUGUAUCACCAGCCCUCUCUCUCUCUAUUUAGCCUUGUGAGGACAGAGAGAGGGAGUUCCUCUGUUGCUACUUCCUCUCUCUCACUCUCCAACAGAUCUUAGGCUAGGGAGGAUCUCGGUUGGAGCUUUCGUUGCCGACGUCGCGCCGCGGAGCCGUCCGGGGAUACGGUUGCUGCCGUUACAACGCGAGGAGGCCGGGCGAGCGGAGGUUUUCAUCGUUUUUGCUGUCGCAGCAGUGCCCGGUGUUGUCGAGGUGAGUGUCUGUUGGAGGAAAAAUUCUAAAAUGCAACGAGUAUAUUAGUGACGUGGCGUAACAAACCAAUCAAAUUAAUCCUUUUAAGAAUAUAUGUCCCAUCAUGAUUGUAAAAAAGUAUUUUUAUUGUACUUUUGUUUAAAAAAAGGAAUGUGAUUGGCUUGUUAUUGAUGAUGUGGUGCAAGUGUGACAGUGUAGAAUUCCUCCUGUUGGAGUGGCUUCGAUUAAUCCGGGUAUCACCGAAUUAGAGCUUAAGUGCUGUUUUCGCAGAAUUUCACCGUCGACUGUUUGUAUUUUUGGCUCGUUCUCGACGUAGGAGCAUCGGAUUGCGACGAGACUUGGUUCGUUGGAUUCAGGACUGCGAGAGGAAUCCACGAAGCCCUUACUUGCUGGAUUUGGUGAAGGUUAGCUUGGUCGAAUCCCUGUUGUACCUCACUGCUGAAAUUCGGGACUGAAACGGUGAUUUAUUGUCGUGUAGAGCUCGAGCGUGGACGAUUUCUGGACUCGGAGCUGUGCGUGUGAUCCAGCAAGUUGCUCGACACCAGUGGGAGUCCUUCGC